UGUAAGAAUCCACACCAGAGGAAAACCCAUGUAAAUGUAAAGAAUGAAGAAAAGCCUUUUGUCAUCCCAGUUCUUUCUGAAGGCAUGAAAGGACUCACUUGAUAAAACCUUCUUGAAUAUAAACAGCAUGAGAAAGACUUCAAUUGGCCUAUGUCCUUCUAUGUGAAAAUUCCACCAAAA